UUCGAUUCCACCUAACUUAUUCGGGAAUUUCACGUAAAAUCUAAGAGAACGGUUAAAAUGUUUUGAAAUCAAUUUUUCUUGAGCGUGUUUUGGUAUGAAGACUGAAAUUCUUAUAAGAAAAUCAACAGUCCUCAAACAGCAGUGCAGUAACCAAAUUUCGCGCAAUAGUUUUCGCGUGGAAAAAACAGAAACAAAUUAAAAUGCCACAACAGGAAGAACUGAUUAGCAACAGAGUCACCUCUCGACGCAUGAAGCGGCCAGAAAGGGGAAAACUCGAAAACCACGUAAAAACUACCGCUUCUGGAGGAUAAAGCGCCUGCUUGGCCCAUCCAAUUUAGAAGAAAAAUCGCUAUUCGGUUUCCGGAAUGGAUCUCAGUGGGAUCAGUGAAGGUAAACAAAAACAAAAGAAAACAGACAAGGAUGAGGAAAACCAGACAAUAGAAAAGCGAAGGAAUUCCGGAUUACAAGCAACCAAAAAUUAUGGCCGACCAAUUUAUUUCCUUCCCAGAGCUCGCCGGGAAUACAUGGAAGCAGUUGGCUUAAUCAAUCAAAAGAUCCGGCUUAGGUAAAAUUCGGAAGGUUUUGUUUUUAAUUAUAGCAGCAUUAUCUAUAAUAACAAGAAUAAAAAGAAAAAAUGAAAUCGAACCAAACAGCUAGUUAUUUUGAUGUAAUUACCAAUUCAAAUUUAUUCCUAUUUCGUUUAGAUUCGAUCAGAAAAA